UACGUAGGGGGCAAGCGUUGUCCGGAAUCAUUGGGCGUAAAGAGCGUGUAGGCGGUCCGGUAAGUCGGCUGUGAAAGUCCAGGGCUCAACCCUGGGAUGCCGGUCGAUACUGCCGGACUAGAGUUCGGAAGAGGAGAGUGGAAUUCCUGGUGUAGCGGUGAAAUGCGCAGAUAUCAGGAGGAACACCCGUGGCGAAAGCGGCUCUCUGGGACGGUACUGACGCUGAGACGCGAAAGCGUGGGGAGCAAACAGG
rnacentral:rRNA from 1 species